rnacentral:lncRNA from 1 species
GCAUAUGGUGUGUGAAGUGUGAACGCAUGGAACAAGUUUGUACAGGACUAAAGUUUUUUUUUUUUUUUCCUUUCUGGAUGGAUCAUGAAGUGGAGACUUUUCAUACACAUGGACAUUUGGAAGGACUAAAAUGAAAAAUGACCAGACGUGUGAUAAAAAAAUAAUAAGCAUCUGAAUGAUGCCUGAUCCAGCCAAAAAUUUAGUUUGCGG